UCCAGAAGCUCCUGGCCCAUACACUGAUUCAUAACAAUAGCAGAGCAUCGUCAUGUCCUCCUAGUCUGUCUCAGGUUUGGGUCAGCCCGUAGGAACGUACAAAAACAAUGGAAGUAGAUUUGGGCCAGUUUAGCAUUGAGCUUUUACCCUAGUCCAUGUAAGAAAGUAAAUCAGAUUCAACUCGAUGCUAUACGUCCAUAGACUAAAUCAGAUUUAACUCUUGCCAUACGUCCACAGCCUUUACCGCCGCCUCUCCUACCUGAGUACCUUCUGUCCUCUUUACUUCAACCAGCAAACCACCAUGUCAGGACUAGGAGAGGCAAACAACCUCUGUUCGUAGCUUCACGCCACCUCCUCACGCUAGCGAGCCUUUGCACUGCGGCCUCCAGCGCUCCCUGCGCUAGCCUCUGCUUUUGCGCUGCAUGUACCGCUCCCGAGGAAGGGGUGCCUUGGCCGAUGAGUGCAAAGGCGGCGGCACCGGUGGACCUGGCUUAUGGCGCGAGCUCUCUUGGCGGCCUGGCCUGGGGGCACGACAUUGGCUGAUGUCCUCUUCGAUUCUCUCUGAUUUUAUGAUUCGAAUUUUUCUCCAAUUUCCUCUUCCAUCGAUUCGUGUAUGGAUGUAGAAGGUAUUGAUUUUGGUGCUUGCUGUUGAGGUCAGCAGACCGGCGUUAAUUUUGUGCUCGACGUUUUAUCUAUAUAUAUGGUUGAUGUCCUUUUUUUGUACGAGUUUUCAUAUCAUGAUAUUUGACUUUGUUUUGGACUCGAUGUAGAAUCUGGAUUGGUUUGGUUCGUUGCUGGGUAUGUGUCAUGCCCGAGUUGGAUACCAGAUAGCUAUGAUCUUUAGUUUGCUGUGGCCUCGAAUCAAUUGGAUAUGUGGAGGGAUUUGGUCUUUCAGAGGAUGCUUUCGGACUACAGAGGGGGAUUAGUCAGGAGGCCAGACGAAAUUAGAUCCAGACGAAAUAAUUUUGUCUCUUUAAGAAUUGUAAUAUAUACAGACAGAGAUAUUAUAUAUAUCUAUAUGGACAUGUCGGACGGAACGGUCCGGCAGACUGAAAUUUUCAUCUUUAAAUAUUAGGGAUCAGAUAAGAUCUUGAAGUCAUUUAUUUGCUAAAAGGUUGUCUUAAAAUUGUAAAAAACAAGGAUCAUGUUACGUGAAAGCACACAAGCCUCCGGCAACACGUCCCAUUUUUUUGAGUUUAUUCAAAUCUGC
rnacentral:lncRNA from 1 species